rnacentral:rRNA from 1 species
AUGCAAGUAGCAAUGAGCGCAGCCACUCACUCAAGCCGUCCGCUCUCUGUCCGUGUGUCACGGGAGAAGGAAUGUGCCGACAAUUCCAUAGUAGAGCCCAUGAGCCCUACCGGAAGAGUCAUGGAGGAGUUGGGUGUGUGCAUCGUCGUCGUCAUAGGGCUUGGCACGCCGGUGAACCUGCCGGUCUUCCGUGCCGGCAUCGAAACAGAACUGCUUACUCGUUUCCCACGCUUCCGCAGUAUUCAAGUAAUGGACGAGUCCACCAACAAUGGCAAGCCGCGAUGGGUGCAAACGGCGGUGAACAUGGACGACCACAUCGUCGUUCCCAGGCUGGAUCCUGAGGCCGACCCAGAAAAGGCCGUGGAGGACUACGUGGCGUCGCUGUCCCUGCUCCCGAUGGACAGGCGCCGCCCGCUCUGGGAGUUCCACUUCCUCGACUUUCCAUCCUCCGAGGCAGCCUCCACGGUGGUGCUCCGCCUGCACCACUCCAUUGGCGACGGCACCUCCAUCACGACGCUCCUCAUGGCGUCGUCCCGCAGCACGGCCGACCCGGCGAGGGUGCCAGCUAUGCCUCCACCACCCAAGCGCACGGGCGCCAUCUACCAGCGAGAACCACGGCCUAGGCUGUCUUCAGGUGAUUACCUCGCACUGCUCGCGUGGUUUUGGUCGUAUGUAGUGCUGGCCUGGCACACACUGGUGGAUGUAACUAUGAUCGUUGCAACGAUACUGUUCUUGAGUGAUCCACGCACGCUCUUCACGCGUGCGGAUGGCGUCGAGCCUCGCACCCGCAAGCGUUUCGUGCACCGGACCCUUAGCUUUGACGAUGUCAAGCUCAUCAAGACUGCCAUGAACUGCACUAUUAACGACGUGCUAGCCGGUGUGACUGCAGCAGCUCUUUCACAAUAUUACUUUAAGAAGUCCGGUGACACUAACACGAAGAGAAUCUGUUUGCGAUCACUCGUCCUAGUCGACGCAAGGCCAGUCUCCACCCGACAAACAUAUGUUACCAGAGUAGAGACAGGCAAUCGACUUAGCAGCCUCAUCUGUCCAUUUAAUAUAGCCUUGCAAGAUGAUCCCCUUGAGUACGUUCGUGAGGCAAAAAGAUUUAUGCAUAGGAAAAAGAGCUCUCUAGAAGUGCUGUUCACACGAGUGGUCGGUGAAUUUUUGGUGAAAAACUUUGGUGUCAAGAAGGCAGGAGCUUUUAUCUUCCGCCGUUUUGUCGAACGAACAACCAUCAUAUUUUCAAAUGCCCUUGGACCAGUUGAACAUAUGGCGUUAUGUGGGCACCCAGUUGCCUUCAUGGCACCUAGUAUCUACGGUCCACCACAAGCUUUGACCAUGCACUACCAUAAUUACGGUAGUGAUAUCAAGGUAGUUCUGGCAGUUGAUGACGCACAAUUUCCAGAUUGUCACCAGCUUUUGGAUGGUUUUGCCGAGGCCACUAGAAUCAUUAAGAAUGCAGCAGCCCUCAAGACGUUGACAACAUCAAUCUAG